ACACGUAAGCCUCGAGCGUUGUUCGGAAUUAUUGGGCGUAAAGGGCAUGUAGGCGGUUUUGCAAGCUUGGUGUGAAAUCCCGGAGCUUAACUCCGGAAUUGCGUUGAGAACUGCAUAACUAGAGUCACUGAGGGGCAAUCAGAAUUCCAGGUGUAGGGGUGAAAUCUGUAGAUAUCUGGAAGAAUACCAAUGGCGAAGGCAGGUUACCAGCAGAUGACUGACGCUGAGGUGCGAAGGUGCGGGGAGCAAACAGGAUUAGAUACCCUGGUAGUCCGCACAGUCAACGAUGUACAUUGGAUGUCUGAACAUAAGUUUGGGUGUCGAAGCAAACGCGAUAAAUGUACCGCCUGGGAAGUAUGCCCGCAAGGGUGAAACUCAAAUGAAUUGACGGGG
rnacentral:rRNA from 1 species